rnacentral:rRNA from 1 species
UGCACACACCGCCCGUCACACCAUGGGAGUUGGUUCUACCCGAAGGCGUUGCGCCGACCGCAAGGAGGCAGGCGACCACGGUAGUGUCAGCGACUGGGGUGAAGUCGUAACAAGGUAGCCGUAGGGGAACCUGCGGCUGGAUCACCUCCUUU